CAAUAGCGUAUAUUAAAGUUGUUGCAGUUAAAAAGCUCGUAGUUGGAUUUCUGGUGGGAGCGAUCGGUCUGGCGCUUAGCGCGAGUACUUGCAUCGUCUCCGGCCAUCCUUGGGGAGAGUCUGUCUGGCAUUAGGUUGUCGGGCAGAGGAUCUUCAUCGUUUACUGUGAAAAAAUUAGAGUGUUCAAAGCAGGCUUAUGCCGUUGAAUAUAUUAGCAUGGAAUAAUAAGAUAGGACUUUGGUACUAUUUUGUUGGUUUGCGCACCAAAGUAAUGAUUAAUAGGGACAGUUGGGGGUAUUCGUAUUCCGUUGUCAGAGGUGAAAUUCUUGGAUUUACGGAAGACGAACUACUGCGAAAGCAUUUACCAAGGAUGUUUUCACUAA
rnacentral:rRNA from 1 species